rnacentral:rRNA from 1 species
AUUGAACGCUGGCGGAAUGCUUUACACAUGCAAGUCGAGCGGCAGCACGGGGGCAACCCUGGUGGCGAGCGGCGAACGGGUGAGUAAUACAUCGGAACAUGCCCAGUCGUGGGGGAUAACACUUCGAAAGAAGUGCUAAUACCGCAUACGUCCUGAGGGAGAAAGCGGGGGAUCGCAAGACCUCGCGCGAUUGGAGUGGCCGAUGUCAGAUUAGCUAGUUGGUGGGGUAAAGGCCUACCAAGGCAACGAUCUGUAGCUGGUCUGAGAGGAUGAUCAGCCACACUGGGACUGAGACACGGCCCAGACCCCUACGGGAGGCAGCAGUGGGGAAUUUUGGACAAGGGGGGCAACCCUGAUCCAGCCAUUCCGCGGGAGUGAAGAAGGCCUUCGGGUUGUAAAGCGCUUUCGGCAGGAACGAAACGGCGAGCUAUAACAUAGCUUGCUAAUGACGGUACCGGAAGAAGAAGCACCGGCUAACUACGU